rnacentral:rRNA from 1 species
CUCCGGUUGAUCCCGCCGGGACCUGACUGCUAUCGGAUUGGUACUAAGCCAUGCGAGUCAUUGUAGCAAUACAAGGCGGACGGCUCAGUAACACGUAGUCAACCUAACUCGUGGACGUGGAUAACCUCGGGAAACUGAGAAUAAACCACGAUAGACCAUAGUGCCUGGAAUGGCUUAUGGUCCAAACAGUUUACUGCCAUGGGAUGGGACUGCGGCCUAUCAGCUUGUUGGUGAGGUAAUGGCCCACCAAGGCGAUUACAGGUACGGGCUCUGAGAGGAGAAGCCCGGAGAUGGGUACUGAGACACGGACCCAGGCCCUAUGGGGCGCAGCAGGCGAGAAACCUUAGCAAUGUGCGAAAGCACGACUGGGUCAGUCCGAGUGAUUCCUGAUAAAGGAGUCUUUUACUUGUCCUAAAAGCACAGGUGAAUAAGGGGUGGGCAAGUCUGGUGUCAGCCGCCGCGGUAAUACCAGCACCUCGAGUGGUCAGGACGUUUAUUGGGCCUAAAGCAUCCGUAGCCGGCUUUGCAAGUCUUCGGUUAAAUCCACCUGCUCAACAGAUGGGCUGCUGGAGAUACUACAAAGCUAGGGAGUGGGAGAGGCAGACGGUAUUCAGUGGGUAGGGGUAAAAUCCUCUGAUCCAUUGAGGACCACCAGUGGCGAAGGCGGUCUGCCAGAACACGUUCGACGGUGAGGGAUGAAAGCUGGGGGAGCAAACCGGAUUAGAUACCCGGGUAGUCCCAGCUGUAAACGAUGCAAACUCGGUGAUGCAUUGGCUUAUGGCCAAUGCAGUGCCGCAGGGAAGCCGUUAAGUUUGCCGCCUGGGAAGUACGGACGCAAGUCUGAAACUUAAAGGAAUUGGCGGGGGAGCA